GUGCCAGCAGCCGCGGUAAUACAGAGGGUGCAAGCGUUAAUCGGAUUUACUGGGCGUAAAGCGUGUGUAGGUGGUUGGGAAAGUCAAUUGUGAAAUCCCCGGGCUUAACUCGGGAACUGCUUUUGAUACUGUCUGACUAGAAUUCGGUAGAGGGAGGCGGAACUCCAGGUGUAGCGGUGAAAUGCGUAGAUAUCUGGAAGAACACCAAUGGCGAAGGCAACCUCCUGGGCCUGAAUUGACACUGAGACACGAAAGCGUGGGGAUCAAACAGGAUUAGAAACCCCCGUAGUCC
rnacentral:rRNA from 1 species